rnacentral:rRNA from 1 species
GACGAACGCUGGCGGCGUGCUUAACACAUGCAAGUCGAACGGAAAGGCCCUGCUUUUGUGGGGUGCUCGAGUGGCGAACGGGUGAGUAACACGUGAGUAACCUGCCCUUGACUUUGGGAUAAUUUCAGGAAACUGGGGCUAAUACCGGAUAGGAGCUCCUGCGGCAUGGUGGGGGUUGGAAAGUUUCGGCGGUUGGGGAUGGACUCGCGGCUUAUCAGCUUGUUGGUGGGGUAGUGGCUUACCAAGGCUUUGACGGGUAGCCGGCCUGAGAGGGUGACCGGCCACAUUGGGACUGAGAUACGGCCCAGACUCCUACGGGAGGCAGCAGUGGGGAAUAUUGCACAAUGGGCGGAAGCCUGAUGCAGCAACGCCGCGUGCGGGAUGACGGCCUUCGGGUUGUAAACCGCUUUCGCCUGUGACGAAGCGUGAGUGACGGUAAUGGGUAAAGAAGCACCGGCUAACUACGUG